rnacentral:rRNA from 1 species
GACGAACGCUGGCGGCGUGCCUAAUACAUGCAAGUCGAACGCAGUGGGUACGGGUGAGUAACACGUGGGUAACCUCCCAUCAGAGGGGAUAACACUUGGAAACAGGUGCUAAACCGAUACUGAUGGAUGAACCCGCGGUGCAGUAGCUAGUGGGUGAGGUAACGGCUCACCAAGGCCACGAUGCAUAGCGGACCGGAGAGGGUGAACGGCAACACUGGGAAGGAGAAACGGCCCAGACUCAUACGGGAGGAAGGAGUAGGGAAUCUUGGGCAAUGGACGAAAGUCGGACCGAGCAACGCCGCGUGAGUGAAGAAGGUUUUCGGAUCGUAAAACUCUGUGGUUAGAGAAGCGGUAUCUAACCAGAAAGCCACGGCUAACUACGUGCCAGCAGCCGCGGUAAUAC